GACUGGGGGGAGCAUUCGUCGGUGUACGCACAGAAACUCCUGAAAGUUGACCAGCCGUUGCCUCUCUUUCUGUGGAACUGUUUUGGGCUAUCACCUUGUGAUCAGAAAUUUCCCUGAAUGAUGAUUUUGUUCUACCAAAUGGAUCUGUGCACUAUUUGGACAACAUGGGUGCUUAGAUCCGGGCAUAAAAGACUUGUGGGGUUUCUGUGUAGUUUGACUGUAUUUUCGGGGUGUUUUGUGUAUUUCAUAUAUGAUUCCCUGUAACUGAGUAACUAGUCUUUGACUCAAUUAUCUCCCAGUCACAGGGACGCCUGGG